rnacentral:rRNA from 1 species
AGGAUCAUUAUUGAAAUAAACCUGAUAAGUUGCUGCUGGUUCUCUAGAGAGCAUGUGCACACUUGUCAUCUUUGUAUCUUCACCUGUGAACCUUUUGUAGACCUGAGCAUCUCUCUGAAUGACUUAUUAUCAUUCAGGAUUGAGGAUUGACCUUUUUUUUNGGUCUCUUCUUAUGUUUUCAGGUCUAUGUUUUUUCAUAUAACCUCAUGUAUGUUUAUAGAAUGUAAUCAAUGGGCCCUUGUGCCUAUAAAUCUAUUACAACUUUCAGCAACGGAUCUCUUGGCUCUCGCAUCGAUGAAGAACGCAGCGAAAUGCGAUAAGUAAUGUGAAUUGCAGAAUUCAGUGAAUCAUCGAAUCUUUGAACGCACCUUGCGCUCCUUGGUAUUCCGAGGAGCAUGCCUGUUUGAGUGUCAUUAAUAUAUAUCAACCUUUUUGGUUGGAUGUGGGUUUGCUGGCCUUUUUUAGGUCAGCUCCUCUUAAAUACAUUAGCGGACAACAUUUUGCCAACCGUUCAUUGGUGUGAUAAUUAUCUACGCUCUUGACGUGAAGCAAGGUUCAGCUUAUAACAGUCCAUUGACUUGGACAGAUUUUAUUUAUUAAUGUGACCUCAAAU